AUGUCCAUGCCCGAGGGGGAGGAAGACCAUAGCCCUACUCGUCCUCGAUCUUCCUCCUGCCCCGACAUGGGCAUGGCGGCCACCAGGCUCACGGACGACCUCCUCGUGGAGAUCCUCGCCCGCGUGCCCGCCAAAUCGCUCGCCCGCUUCAAGUGCGUCUCCAAGCACUGGCUGAGCCUCACCUUCGACCGCAGCCACCGCAGGAGGCUCCCCCAGACACUGUCCGGCUUCUUCUACAGCAGCACCGGCGAGGAGUGCUUCCUGGAGUCACCUGUCCAGUUCACCAGCGUCGGGGGCGUUCCUCCCUAG
rnacentral:rRNA from 1 species